AUGAGGGAUCUGUUUAAUAUGGAUGAAGUACCAACACUCCAGGCAUUUUCAUUGACAUUUCACUGUGACUUUUUGAACUUAGGAGUGGUGACAGGCAAGCCUACUCUGGCAGCCCUGCGGAGCGGGCGGUGGGACAGCAGCGCAGGCCAGGAGAGGUACAAGGCUGUGUCCGCUUCUCGCUCCCUCUGUUUUCCUGUGCUCUCUGUACUUCAUUUUCUUCCUCGCUUUUGCACUUGCCAGUCGUCCAGGAUUCCAUCUCUGAAGCCAGCCAGGAAAGCAGGCAAGGCUGGGGGCUCGUGCUCCCACGGCCCGUCGCCUCUCCAGCGCUGGGCUUGCAACCCUGGACCAGAGGGGGCGUUUGUAACAAGACCUUCUGCAAAGGUCAAGACACGCUUCUUUCGGUACCUGGAAGCCAGAAGCCACCCAGAGGGGCCGGGCGGGGCACAUCUGAGAAACAGACCCAAAGGGUCCAGGCGGGCAGGGAAGCGGGCCCCCCUCCCCCCCCGCCCCCCCGCCGCCCCCGCCGCCCCCCGGCCCCCUCGCUCGGUCCUCCCCGGCGGCCCCCAGGCUCAGCUCCGGGGCAGCCCCGCCGUCUGGCAGGAGCCGGGGAGAGACAUGCUGUUUUGUUUAAAUCCUCCACAUUCUUUGCCAUUUCCCCAUUGGCCGGAUGGGGCUACCCUCCCCGCCGCGGCCGCUGCUGAUGUCAGCCCGGCUGGCGCUCGCUCCUCCCGCACCCACCUCCCCGGCCCGAGGCACACUGCAGCUCGGCGCGGACUCCCGGGCCCGGCGCGGCGGCUGCAAACUCGCGGGCACGCACGGCGCUCGCCGAGCCCGGGCACUCGGGGGAGGGAGGGCCGUGCGCGGAAGGCGCCGCCUCCUCCCGCCCGCCCCGGCCGCCGCGAGCCCCGCUCGGAGCAACCCGCGGCCCAAGCCCGGCGCAGCCGAGCGGCCGCGGCUUCCCUUUCCUCCCGCCGCGAGCCCCGGCGCGCCUCGCGGACGGGCCCUAAAAAGAGCAGGAAAUCUUGUUUACCGCCCGGGGAGAAGAGCCGGCCGAGCCUUUGUCUGGAAAGUCAGCAUCUCCGGCUCCGGCUGCAAUGGGCUCCUGGUGACAUUCGCCUUCGGGCAGACCCGCCGGAGCGGGGGUCGCCAGGUUCAGGCGGCCCGAGGCGGGGGACUUUUUGUGCAUUUCGUCUUAAUUUUCGGAAAGCUCUCUCUUUUCCUCCCUUGCCCGCCACCGGGCAUGUCCUGAUCCGGCGGCCGCUCCUCCCGCCCGGGGCCGCCGAUCAGAGCGGUUUCCAGCGGGUCCCCCUCCCGCCCUCCGCGGUCCCUCCCUGA
rnacentral:lncRNA from 1 species